CAAGUUUGAGAUCAACCCACUGAUUUUUAAACAAAGCAUUUCCCCCUGAGUGAAGUACAGAAUUGCUGUGUGUAGUCUUUGCCCAUCCCCUGUGAUGGGCUUUUUUUUUG
rfam:Triticum urartu cultivar G1812 contig27004, whole genome shotgun sequence.